UACGUAGGGUGCGAGCGUUAAUCGGAAUUACCGGGCGUAAAGCGUGCGCAGGCGGUUUUGUAAGCCAGAUGUGAAAUCCCCAGGCUCAACCUGGGAACUGCGUCCGAUACUGGAUGGCUUGAAUUCGGGAGAGGGAUGCAGAAUUCCAGGUGUAGCGGUGAAAUGCGUAGAUAUCUGGAGGAAUACCGGUGGCGAAGGCGGCAUCCUGGACCGACAUUGACGCUGAUGAGCGAAAGCCAGGGGAGCAAACGGG
rnacentral:rRNA from 1 species